CUUCCUUGUCCCUGUCCCUGUCCCUGUCCGCGGCGGGGCCCGGGCCGCUCCCCAGCACGGACCGCAGGUGUGCUGCAGACCGGCUCUUCCGAAGCGUGAGCUCGCGUAGCUCCCCGUGUGCUUUUGCCAGGAGUCAGGCUGAAGAAUAAUGAAUUAAAGUGACUGACAUCAUGACAACCAUAAGACAGAGGAGGGUUGGAAAAGGCACAGAAGCAGCUGAAGAUCAGCCUUCAGAGGAGACAAAUGUGAAGCCUGAUGGGAAAAUUCCACCUGAUCCUCCAGGUGGUAAGCUGUGGAACAUACUGUCAAUAACUGUUGGUGGAAUUGUUGCCAUCUCUCUUGGACUUCUUACUUCUGUUUAUGUGGCUACACUACAUGAAAAUGACCUGUGGUUUUCCAAUAUCAAGGAAGUCGAAAGAGAAAUUUCAUUCAGAACUGAGUGUGGACUUUAUUAUUCCUACUACAAACAGAUGAUUCAGGCUGCUUCUAUACAGCAAGGUUUACAUGGUUUAGUAUAUGACAAUAAAACUGAAUCUGUGAGGACAAUUAACAUACUUGAAAGAAUGAAUGUUUACCAGGAGGUGUUUCUCAGCAUUCUGUAUAGGAUUCUUCCAAUUCAGCAAUACCUAGAGCCUGUUUAUUUUUAUAUCUACACUUUGUUUGGACUUCAGGCAGUUUAUGUCAUUGCUCUGUAUGUAACAAGCUGGCUUCUUAGUGGAACAUGGCUUUCAGGGUUGUUGGCAGCUUGCUGGUAUAUUACAAACAGAGUGGAUACUACAAGGGUAGAAUUCACCAUUCCUUUAAGGGAGAACUGGGCACUGCCAUUCUUUGCUGUUCAGAUAGCAGCCAUCACAUACCUUCUCAGAACUCAUUUACAGCCUGCUCAAGAAAGGCUCACACUCAUGGCUGUAUUCAUGGCAACGUUUCUCUUUAGCCUGACUUGGCAAUUUAACCAGUUUAUGAUGCUGAUACAAGCAUUGGCAUUAUUCACACUGGACUGCUUGGACAUGCUUCCCACAGCAAAGGUUACAUGGCUCUAUAUAAUUCAGAUUUCUGGAUUAUUGCUGGUCUGUGUCCUACAGUUCUUCAAUUCUAUGAUUCUUGGAUCAUUACUUAUAAGUUUUAAUGUUUCUGUCUUAAUAGCAAGAACAAUCCAGAAAAACCUAAAAAGGGGUGGCUUGCUUAAUAGGCUUGGGAAACUUAUCCUCCAUGUUCUACUAGUCUUGUGCUUGACUCUCCUAAUAAAUAAAUUAAUUAAGAAAAUUCUUAAUCUUGAGUCAGAUGAGCAUAUAUUCAAAUUUCUGAAAGCAAAAUUUGGAUUUGGAGCAACAAGAGAUUUUGAUGCUAACCUGUAUCUUUGUGAAGAAGCCUUUGGUUUACUACCUUUAAAUACUUUUUCAAGACUCUCCAGUACAUUACUUUUCUACAUCUAUGGAUUUGUUCUCUUCCUCCUGACAGUAGCAGCUGUAAUUGUUGCCUUUCGGAACCUCAGUGGUUCAAAUCAAGUCCAGUUAAAGGAAAAAAUGGGAGAAUACACAGUGACACUGAAGCCUGAUGCUGCCUAUAGCUUAGUUCACACAGUUCUUUUUGGAUGUCUGGCAUUAAGCACAAUGAGGAUGAAGUACCUCUGGACAUCCCACAUGUGUGUAUUUGCAUCCUUUGGCCUGUGCAGUACAGAGGUUUGGAAACUCAUCCUCAAGUGUCUCCAUCUCUACACAUCCCACAGGACACAGGUGCUUAAGUAUUCUGUACCAAUAAUUACAUUACUGUACAUUUCAUUUAAGUUCUGGCCAGGAAUAAUGGAUGAACUAUCAGAGCUGAGAGAAUUCUAUGACCCAGACACUGUGGAGCUGAUGAACUGGAUUAAGUCAAACACUCCAAACACAGCAGUGUUUGCUGGGAGCAUGCAGCUGUUGGCAGGAGUCAAGCUGUGCACUGGACGGACCUUAACCAACCAUCCCCAUUAUGAGGAUAAGAAUCUGAGAGAGAGAACAAAGCAGAUUUACCAGAUCUAUGCCAAGCGAUCUCCCAGUGACGUGCACGGAAUCCUGCGCUCCUUCGGCACGGACUACGUGAUCCUGGAGGACAGCAUUUGCUAUGAGAGGAGGCACAGCAGGGGCUGCCGCCUGCGCGACCUGCUCGAUGUAGCCAAUGGCCACAUCAUGGAUGGCUUGGGAGAGAAUGAACCUGAUUUGAAACCUUCACUGUAUCCUCGCUUCUGUGAGGAAAUAAAAAAAACCCUUCCUUCUUACACCGUGUAUUUCACCAGGGUGUUUCAAAACAAAACAUUCCAUGUUUACAAACUUGCCAAGCAUAAAUAAUAUUUCCAACCGUGACUUCAGUAUUUCACUGCUAGGACCCACAUUAGGAAAUUCAGAUGAAGUUUACAAACAGGUUACAAUUUGUAAGACAUUUUACACCAAUGGUUUCUUGUUUAAUUACUGUGAUGCUUUUUUUUUAGAUUUUUUUUUAAAUUUUGAUAACAUUAUUGACAUUGCCAAAAUAUUCAUAAAUAAAUGCUAUCAGGGACCAUUUCAGUUAUAAAUUCUGACCCUUGGAAUAUUAGAUUAUAAUUGUUUUGCAGUUGCAACUGAUUGGAAGACAAAGGCAAAAGCAUGUGGGAGCACUGCUGAGUGCCAGCCUGUGAAUCUGCUCAGCAGUUCAGAUUUUCCCCUUAAAUGGUAGAAAUUCAGUGAAAGCAGCCCAUGCUGCUCCUGCCCUGAGUAAGCAUUGUCUUUGUGAAUCCUAAAAUUAGUCACAAAAUGAAGUUUUGUCUUACAGUCUGAUCCUUUUUGACAGAACCAUGUGCUCUUUCAGUGCCUCUUUUUUGAAUUCUUUGGGAAUGUAUGCGGAUAUGAGUUUCCAGUCUUGUGAGUGUGAUUGCAGAAUCAGUGAGUGCAGAUUAAGCAAACAGUUUUGAAGAAAAAACUUUAAUCUUCCUUCGGUCCAGCAUUUUUAGUGAUCAGAAACAAACUGGUUUGUAACAUUUAGUGUUUAACGAUGGAGUGUUAGGUAUUUCUAGUGAGAAAAAAGGCUGGAGCAUGCUUGAUACGUGUUGCAUGUUUGUAUCCUUGUAAAAUGCUCAGAAUAAACAGAAAUCCAAAUUUCUCAGUUUGGAUUGUCACAACACUUCCUGUAUAUACUUUCUGAAGUACAGGGGAUCCUUUUUCUCCUUGUGUGACUCCCACUAGGAUAGCAAAAUUGGACAAAAGGAAAACUCAUCUCUAAAUCAUCAGGAAACCAGUAUUUCAAAUACAUUCAGAUAGUAGAGCCUUGUUUUGUAUUAUUUCAGACACAAAGCUCUAUAUUUUAGCACAAAAUCAUUGUGUCCUUGUUCUUUAGCCUAAAACAGAGACUACCAAUAUUUUAAAAUUACAUGGAAGAUUAAGUGAAGGCAGACCUCAAUGCUGAGAAUUCCGUGAUUUGUUUGUACCCUUUGUCUUUUUACCAGCCUGAACUUUGUGAUUUGUAUCAGAUUUCUAAAUGUUAUGAAGGUACCACAUCGCCUUUCCUGUGUUUUUAGCACUGCUUUGGUUUUAGAUUUAAAUCAGAAAUCAAAUUUGGAAGCCUCACAGUAUUCUCCUUCUUGAAUGAGACAUCCACUAGGCUCAUUUGUUUCUUAAUUUGUUUCUUAAUUCUUAAAUUGUAAUAAUCAAGUGCCUCUAGGCCCAGGUUGAAUUAACAUUUGAACACCUAUAAGAGUGUUUGUGGCCUGUGCAAAUAACUCAGUUAUAGUAAUUACCACUGCAAUUAAUUUCUAAUGAUGAGAAACUUAAAGUGCUACAGAUAGCAAACUCCACAUUUAAUUUAAUCAAGAUGUGUAAUGAGAUUAGCUGUCACAACUGAGCUGGGCUCCAAUUCCAAAUGAUUUAAGUGUUUUCCCUUUCAGUUGUACCAAGGUAAAUUACUGAAGAGAUGGAGAUGGUUAUGUCACAUGCUCAAACAAUUUUAUAUUCAGUAAAUAGUCAUUAAACAAUGUUCAACAUCCUUCUGCCUUUCUCUCUGGCACAGAAGGCUGUGCUGUAGCCAGGCUGUGUUAAAUCACAUGCUGACAGGAGCUGGGUUGUUUCACUGAGCAGCUGAAACUCCUGAGUAAUUCCUAGCCUGUAUCCUUUAAUGAGGUUGAAGACCACUGCAGUUUAACAUAAUACAAUAAUAAAGCACUUUAAUCAGUAUUAAAACUUUAAUUAGGCCUGUAAUGAUGCAUGGUGGUUCUUGCUGCAAGCCUGGGUCAGUGAAUCCCCCAAUGAGUGCCUUCAGUAAUUGAAAACAAGCACACAAAAGGUAAAAUAUGUCGGGGCUCUAUGGCUUCUAGAAGGCAAUAGGAUCUUUCUGGAAAGGUGCACUAACUUUCCUUGGGUGGAGGGGAGGGAUUCCCAGGCCCAGUCAUAGCCUGUUGUCUUCAGAAGUUACUUGUAGGCAACAGCUGAGAAUAAGAAAUCCUGACUGGAACAGUAAUUAUUUUUAAACAGACUUGUUUCAAAAAUGCAGUCUCUAGUAUGGCCGAAGGAGAAAUUUAACCUUUUCACAGAAACUACCAAGUGCAAACUGGUUUGUUUGGGUUGUUUUAGAUAGGAAGAUGUGUUACGAGAGAUUAUCAGAAAGGUUUAACACGAAGGGAUAUUCCAGGGGCUGUAGUGCAGCACUGGGACACCAGCCUGCUCGAACAGUAAAUCCCAGAGCAGCUCCCAGCUCCGAGGGAGCAGCUGCUCCCUGCCCCUUUGGACAACAGGGGAGGGGCUGGGGGGGAAGGGCUGCACCUCCCGUUCCUGAGGUGCCAACUCCCUGAUCCCAGCAGUGGGAAUGGCAGCGACAGGGCUCCUCCUGUGGGCUCCUUGGUGGCCACAAGGACUUUGUGCUGCAGGUAAUCAGUGGGAUUGUGGUAAAAAUUACCUUUUUUAGAUUGCAGAGACUAAACGCUAUCAAGGAGCCAGGACUUUUUUAGGACAGAAAAGCCUUUGAGAUCCACACUUGUAUUUUCAUUUCUUGUUUUCAGUGUUCUGCUGGUGGGAUCUAACAUAGUUAUUUUAUAAUAUGUUGUUGUAAAGAGAUGUAAUGACUAUUGUAUACUAAAUAAAUUGUGUAAUUUGAAAGUCAUGUUUUUUGCUUGAUUUUAUGUUGGCAUGGGUUGAGAAAGACCUGGUUUGGGAACCAGCUUUGCUUCAGUCUGAUGGAGGAAAGCAAAAUAUUUUCCAUGAGGAAGUUUGGGCUUUUCAAGCUCAUUAUAUUGUGUAUAGCACUGACUUCAGUAUCACCUUUGUAUUUUAACAGCUCACUGGGCUUCCUCUGUCAGAAGGCAAAGGUACCAGCCUUUUUCAGAUUUCACCAGCCUUCACCAGAUUUUUACCAGUCAUCACCCUGUGCACAUCAGCUCCAGGUUCCUGGGCACCACUUGUGCUUGUUGUCACUCUCACCCAAGGACCAGUCCAGUUCCUCAGGGAUGGAAGAAGAGCUUGGACGAGGUCUUGUUCACCCGGGGAAACCCCAAAGUGUUCUUUGGGUGGGUAACUGCAGCCUGAGCCCACCAGCUGGAACUUCUCAGCCAGCACAGCACCCGUGACUCACAUCUGUGGAAGCAUCUGAUCAAACCUGAGAGAGAAAUAAUUCAACAGACUCCACCCUUCAGUCAUCCUUAAACAAGGCAAAGACACCCGGGACAGAAGGCUGAUUUAUUAUUUAUAGGGUGCCUGAGAUAGGCAGGACACUUCACAGGCAAAUAAAGACAGUGUUGGCCCCAAGGAGCUUACAGACUAAAAUAAAUUAAACCCAGCCAAAGCAACAGCAUGUCCACAGGUUUGGGAAGAAUACAAGGUCUGUAGACAAAAUUAUUGCUGUUUCAGGAAGGAAUAGAUUUUUGUACAUAAUAUAUAUUUAGUUCAUUUUCCAUAUCCUGCUUGUGACUGCCGAGAUCAUGGAAUAUAGGAGGUGGCACACUGGACUGGUGAACACUGCAAGAUGUUUCAGCCAAGGUUUUCUCCCAGGUAAAUAAAUGUGUCAGUAAAAUUACAAAAUCACAGACUCUGUAAUGUCUGUGAACCAAAACCAUUGGGUGUGAGUAAGAACAGGAUUUAGGUUUUCCAGAGGACAAUGCCCACCACCUGCAGUGUGUAACCAGUGCUUAAUGGUGCACUCAAGGUUUUCCAGAGAGUGGCACAAAUGCACGUGAGAACAAGGUACCGUGUGAACAUUUCUCAUUUGGGAAACAUGCAAACUGAGCUGGCCUGCAGACAGCAUUCACCUAACUUAUAGGUUUUAACAGAUGUAUAAAAAUAAAAGCCAGACCUCCCAAAACAAGCUCCUGUGAGCAAAGCAGUUUUAAUGUCUGUUACAAUACAUUGUUUCAUGCUUUGUUUUAAUGAAACAAAUUAUUAGAAACUAGGAUAUAGUCAUCUUACUAGCUCAUAAUAUAUAAUGUACAUAUUACAUAUAGUUUACAUAUUAUAAUAGAUAUAAUUUAUAUAUGAUACAUAGAAGAAACAGCACAGCUUAAGCUUUUGGGUUUGCUGCAGUGUACUCCAUUUAUUUGUACAAGUGAUCUCAAAAAAAAAAAAAUAGUGGCACCUUCUCUCUUCCAAAUACUGUCAAUUUUAAGAAAACUCCAGCAGAGUAGCUGGACAUUAAAUGGUUUGAAAAAUGGACUGAUUAAUUUAAAGCAUAAUAUUCCACCCCCUGCAACUGCUGUUAGUUUUUCCCUGUGUUUCUCUGUCCCAAGAGAUGUCCUGCAAUACUUCUAUCAAAGGAGAUUUAACAAAACAUGAUCAACAGAGUUGUAGACGC